AAUGUUUCUCAUUCUGAUAAUUAUAGAGGAUGGAUUACCUUUGUUUGAAUAUGGAAGCCAUACAGUAUAUUUACAUAGGUGGGAUAAAUAAAUGCAGAUUUAUUUAUCUGUGUUUGGGACUUGUGUGAGGUGAGAAAGCUGGUUCUCAAAAAAGCAAGCUCGUAUUUUUCCACUUCUUAGCCUGGUUGCAAAGCAUUACCUUACUCAGAAACAAGUUAAUAGGCUGUGACAGUGGCAUCCAUCCAAUUACAAGCAAAGAAGCUAUAAGUAACCCUUCCAUUCCUAUUGUUAUGGGCUGUAAGACCUUAUUUGCCUGUUCAUGUUCAAAACAACCAACAUGUCUUUUUGUACAGGCACUUGAUGAUUGAAUAUUCAAAAUGACCUGUGAGAGAUUAGUUAGGAGUGUGGCUUCUAAUCUAACAGCAUCAGUGUCUCCUAAGCAUUUCAGAAAAUGCUUCAUCACCCUGGUUCUGAGAAAGGCACAGAAAUUAGGACCUGUUUCUGCUGCCCUUACAAUGAGCAGAGCUUGCCCAGGAGAAGUCAAUGGGACUGUUUGCUUAGACCUAAUAAAAAAUUGGAAAUUGCUUCACACCUUGAAUCUGGACAAAAUUAAAAAAAU